AUUGAACGCUGGCGGCAUGCUUUACACAUGCAAGUCGAACGGUAACAGGGUGCUUGCACCGCUGACGAGUGGCGAACGGGUGAGUAAUGCGUCGGAACGUGCCGAGUAGUGGGGGAUAACGCAGCGAAAGUUGUGCUAAUACCGCAUACGUACUGAGGUAGAAAGUGGGGGACCUUCGGGCCUCACGCUAUUCGAGCGGCCGACGUCUGAUUAGCUAGUAGGUGAGGUAAAGGCUCACCUAGGCGACGAUCAGUAGCGGGUCUGAGAGGAUGAUCCGCCACACUGGGACUGAGACACGGCCCAGACUCCUACGGGAGGCAGCAGUGGGGAAUUUUGGACAAUGGGCGCAAGCCUGAUGGAGCGAUGCCGCGUGUCUGAAGAAGGCCUUCGGGUUGUAAAGGACUUUUGUCAGGGAGGAAAUCCCUAGUGCUAAUAACACUGGGGGAUGACAGUACCUGAAGAAUAAGCACCGGCUAACUACGUGCCAGCCGCCGCAGUAA
rnacentral:rRNA from 1 species